rnacentral:rRNA from 1 species
UGCGUAGGCGGGUAGGUAAGUCAGUGGUGAAAUCUCAGAGCUUAACUCUGAAACUGCCAUUGAUACUAUUUAUCUUGAAUAUUGUGGAGGUAAGCGGAAUAUGUCAUGUAGCGGUGAAAUGCUUAGAUAUGACAUAGAACACCCAUUGCGAAGGCAGCUUACUACACAUAUAUUGGACGCUGAGGCACGAAAGCGUGGGGAUCAAACAGGAUUAGAUACCCUGGUAGUCCACGCCCUAAACGAUGAUUACUCGACAUACGCAAUACACCGUGUGUGUCUGAGCGAAAGCAUUAAGUAAUCCACCUGGGAAGUACGACCGCAAGGUUGAA